GCAGCCAGAACCCGUGGCUCAUCACACUCCUCUCUUGCUCUACAUUUCUUCCAGGCUCAUAUCGUCUCUGUCUCUCGAAAUACUGGGCAUCGCCUAUACCGGCCUUCAAUUGAUUGAUACAUCAUUAAUUUUUCGGAAUCUUCUUCAUCAUUGCUCCGAGAAAGUUGUAUUGGGGAUUUCAUUAGACUGCAUUUGGCUGAAAUUUUUGCGAGUUUUGUGCUGAAGGGAAGAAGACUGAAACUUGGGUGUUGGGCGAACUUAUAUUUAGGUUCAUUACUUGAACCAUGUAAUAAUUCAUGAAAGAUAUGCAAUUAUAAUUCAAUGAAUUGUUGUUGAACAUUAUGGCAUCGGACCGCAGUUGGAUGCUGAAUAGGUCAGAUGAUGGAUUUCUUUUUGUUAAAUUCAUUGAAGGUGUUGAAGAGUUCAUUGAAUUUUCCAUGUCUCGAACAAGAGAUGGAAAUAUGAUUAGAUGUCCAUGUUCUAUAUGUAAAAACACAAGGUUUCUCAAAGGAGAUGAUGUGAAAUUUCAUCUUUACAAAAAUGGAUUUACAAGUGGCUAUACACAGUGGAAUGUGCAUGGAGAACCAUUCAGUUUCAAUGAUCCAAAUUUGGUUGAAUCCUCAACUGCACAAGCUACAACCAUGGAGAGCCAUGAAGCAAUGGUGGUAGAUGCAAUGGGCCCUGAAAUGUACGAUGAUUACAUCAAUCCUAUUGUUUGUGGUCAUGAAGAACAAACCCCAAAUCAACAUGCCACAAAUUUCUUUACACUGUUGGAAGAAGCUAACAAACAUGCAUGGCCCGGUUGUAGUAUGCACACAAACCUUUCUACUAUGGCACGACUCUUGAAUUUGAAGUCUGAAUUUAAUAUGCGGACAGCAUGUUAUGAUCAUAUGUUGUCUAUAAUUAAGGAAAUUAUGCCAGAAGGUGACCACUUAGAAGCUACAUUCUAUAAAACAAAGAAAAUGUUAUCCAGUCUUGGCGUUGGUGUUAUGAAGAUCCAUGCUUGUGUGAAUGAUUGCAUGUUGUACUACAAAGAAAUCUAGAGCAUGACUCAGUGUCCUAUGUAUUUUAGUCCACGAUACAAAGAGAAGAUGUCUCGAUUUGGACAUAGGGUACCUCAGAAGGUGCUUUGAUAUCUACCUCUAACUUCUAGGCUUCAGCAAUUAUAUAUGUCGAGACAUACUGCAGAGCACAUAUCAUGGCAUUCGAAGAAUCAAUUCACUGAUAAUGAAAUGUCACACCCCGUACACAGUGAGGCAUGUAAGCACUUUGAUAGAACUUUUUCUUAAUUUUUCCUUGAAUCACGUAAUGUGCACCUUGGUUUAUGUACGAAUGGUUUCAACCCCUUUAGCAUGUCAAAUGUGCAAUACAGAUGUUGGCUAGUAAUCAUUGCUAUCUAUAAUCUUCCACCAUGGAUGUGCAUGCAACAAGACAACUUGUUUUUGUGUAUAGUUAUCCUAGGACCGAAGACUCCUGGGAAAAUCCUUGAUGUUUUUUUGCGUCCUCUCAUUGAUAAACUAAAAAUGCUUUGGGAUGAAGGUGUUUACACAUAUGACAUAGAAACGAAGCAGAAUUUUCAGUUGAAAGCCACAUUGAUGUGGACUAUUAGUGAUUUUUUGGGAUAUGGCAUGUUAUUCGGAUGGAGUACACACGGUCUGAAGUCUUGUCCAUACUAUAUGGGUUGAACUAAGUCUUUCAGGCUUAAAAUGGUAGGAAAAAAUCUUUUUUUGAUUGUCAUCGUCAAUUCCUAUCACCCGACCAUGCAUUUAGAAAACAAAGAGACAAGUUUUAGAAAUGUAGAGUUGAGAAGAAUAUAGCACAACAUAGGCUAACGGUGAAGAGCUGCGAAGUAUAGUGGAAAACAUCCCAGACAUUGCAAGUGGCAAAGCUGAUAAGAAUAAAUACAUUGAAGGUUUUGGUCAUAGCCAUAAUUGGAUGAGGAGAAUCACUUUCUUGGAGUUACCUUAUUGGGAUAAAAAUCUCAUAAGACACAAUUUAGAUGUGAUGCACAUUGAGAAGAAUGUAUUCAAAAAUAUAUUCAUCACAAUUAUGGAUAUAAAAGGAAAAACUAAAGACAACAUUAAGGCUAGGAAGGAUUUGGAGCUCUAUUGUAAUCAUCCAGAGCUUCAUAUAUAUGAAGAUGAAAGGGAAAAACUAUUCAUGCCAAAGGCCUCCUACAGCUUGACUAAUGUACAAAAAUGAGAAGUACGCAACUGGAUUGGGAAUUUAAGAAUGUCUGACGGUUAUGUAUCAAAUAUUUCACGUUGUGUUAAGGGUGAUUGUAAGUUCUAUGGAAUGAAGAGCCAUGAUUGUCAUAUUUUUAUGCAAAGAUUGCUGUCGAUUGCAUUUAAAGACUUGUUGCCCAAACCAAUUUGGGAAGCUUUAACUGAACUUAGUCCUGUGCAGUAUCGUUGGAUGUAUCCUUUUGAGAGAGAACACAUGCUUGUAUAUUUAAUUUAACUUUUGUAGUCUAAAUGAUAUUCAUUUUGUGUAUCACAGGUUCCUAUGACACUCAAAAAAGAAAGUGAAAAUCGGGCUCAUGUUGAGGCAUCUAUCAUAGAGGCAUACUUAGUAGAGGAAAUGUCAAUUUUUUGCUCUCUAUAUUUUGAUCAAAGUAUUCAAACAAGAUUGAAUCGUAUGCUGAGGAACGAUGAUGGAGGUCAUAUUGAUUCCUAAGGGAGACUAUCCCACCCUGGACAACCCUUUGGCAUUCAACGUCAUAAUAGCAGAUUAAUGACGAAUGAGGAAUUCAGAGUAGCGUCAAUGUAUGUUCUCUUCAAUUGUGAGGAAGUAACUCCUUUUAAGCGAUGUCUGAUAAAUAUAUGAGAAUGUUGCAUCCCCAAAUGUCUGAUGCACAACUUGAUGGUUCACGGGAAGAAAAUUUUUCGUGUUGUUUAAAGGAAUAUGUUUGAAUGAUCAUAAUGAAGUUGAUAAUCGCAUAAAGGCAUUGGUUAUGGGUCCCUCUCGUAGAGUGAAUUGUUAUAAUGGAUAUUUUGUCAAUGGUUUUAAGUUUUACACUUAAGAUUAUGGUUCCCACAAAACAACAAUGAAUAUUGGAGUGUUGGUAUUAGGGAGUUGUCAUAAUGACUAUGAGUGUGACUACUAUGGUAUGUUAAUUGAAAUAUUGGAAUAGGAUUAAUUAGGAGAUGUUCGAAACAAGGUAACCUUAUUCAAGCGUGAUUGGUUUGACAUCAAUGGUGGCGUUAGAGUCCAUCGAUGAUUUGGUCUUGUUGAACUUAAUCAUAAGAAGAAAUUACAAACAAAUGAUGUGUUUAUACUUGCUCAACAAGCUCUACAAGUAUAAUACACUUGUUUUUCAACGAAGGCUAGAGAUAGACUUGAUUGGUGGGCGGUUGUGAAAAAAAAAGGAAGAAAUGUUCCCAACAUACAAGGAAUCAUAUCGGAGAAUGAAGAGUGCAAUAUGUGGGUGGAACUUGCAUUCCAAGAGGAUCAACAACCAUCGACCUAGAAACCUGUUUGAAUAAAUUCAGAAUUUGAAAGCCAAAAUUUAAUUCGUAAUUGAUAUUAGAGCUGGAGAAGUGGAUGUGGCUAAAUCUAGGAUCUUUGAUGUAGAUUCUGAAAGGCAUGCUGUAGAAGAAAACACACAACUAUAGGACACUGACAAUAGUGAUGGUUUCACAAGUGUAAGUGAAGGCUAAAGAAAAUAGUACUACUGUUAAUCUUUUCAUUUUUAGUUCAUGUUUUUAGUUUAUUGUUCUUGUCGUUGCUAAUAUUUUGCAUGUUUAUGGAGAAGGGAGUAAUGGCUAGGCUAGACAAGAAGCUAGGUGAUGUUUUGGUUCAAGAGAUAGGAUGCUGGUGUAUGCAAACUCAACUUCUAGUAAAUGUACCCCUUCUUAAUUUGGUAGGUGGGGUUUAUAUAUCUAUGUUCAACAUAUUUAACCCUUAACAUCUGUUGGAUGAGAUUGAAUUUUUUUUAUAUUUUUGUUUCAUUUCAAUCUGAAAUGUAUUGAGUGCUGCUUAGAACUCAUGUUGGACACACUUUGUUCUAUUGGACGCGUCUUUUAUUGUAUUGGACAAUCUUGUAUUGUAUUUGAAAGCUCUUUUUUUGGAA